ACUCUUUGCCCUCUCUGGGCGGAAGGAACGCGGUCACCCUGAGAAAGGACCGGCGCGACCCGACUGGGCGACCGGGGGGAGCGGCCCCCCCCCUCUGCGGACCGGGCUGCAGGCACGGGCCUGAGCGCGGCGUUCCUCAGAUGUCUGGACCCGCAGGCCGCUCAGUUUCCCGGUGUCCGCUGGCAGCCUCGAGCUAGGGGCGCGCUCUGGCCCGCGGUGCAGUCGCGCAGUAUAGCAGGGCGGCCUUGGGGCUCUGAGGCCCAACCGGCGAAAGAAGUAGACUCGGCCCUAACCAUCUCGACGCUACAAUUUUUGUUUCUGGAUCUCUGAACUGGGGAGUGAGUGCUGUGGAGUGAGGGGGAAAUAAGAUAAACAUGAGACCUGGCCCAGUAGACGCGUUUUCAGUUCUUGCUGACCUGCGGUCUCCGCUUGGAGCGCUGGGGGAGAGGGCGGAGUCCCCCGGCAGAGGUGAAGCGAGAGCUGCUUUCUGGCAGCGUUUCCAGCCUGGAAGGAGUUGUGCUCUGUAAUGCUUUUCUGAAUUGCAUUCGGCGAAAGGAGUAGGAAACUGCGUUUAUUCCUUCACCAGAUUUGAGGGCAUCUGCUGCGUGCCAGGCUGCCUGGCAUUGGGGGCUGUUUAUGAUUUUCUUUUCCUCUUUUUCUGAUUUCUUCCCCCCCACUGACGAAUAAGUAGAAAUAAGUGAGGAUUUAACUGUGAGCCUCUAGUAUGCAGAUGUAUGCUGAGCGGUAUUGGGGUUCAGCAGAUACUCUCCAAACACUUGAAAAUACUGUCUUGUAAUAAUUCUAUUAUGGGUCAAUCCAGAGUGGAUCAAACCAGAAAUGAACGUCUCUGGCCAGAGCAAACCUUACUGAGAGAAAUAAUAUAUCUAACUCAGGAAUUGAGCCAAGAAAACCCUGGGAAGUAAAUAUUUCUGAAGUGAAAAGUCUCCUGUGUGUGUACAAAACUAUCUGGUUCUAGUAGUAGAGAUAGUCUCAUCUCUCUAUUAAAGCUUAAUGUGAUUCCAUUAAAUAUUUGAAUCAUAAAACUGGACCUUUUAUUCUGUUCCUUUUCUCAAUAAAUGCAGUUCUGAAUAUUAUUUUAAUUCCCGUAUAGUUUUCCUACAAGGAGAGAAUGCCCUGGCCAAAUGAAAUGAAUAGCCAUUUUCCUUGACAGUCGUUAUUUUUCAUUACAAAUUAAUACACUGGUAUGUUGGUCUUUAUGCAGCAGUUUCUAAUGAACAUGAUUCAGCUUCUUUGGUCCUGUAACACAAAAGCUAGACCCUGUCAAAUGCUCCUCACUCUGAGGCCUCUGAGCCAGCCAGCUUUCUAACACCCAAUGUUGUGGCACUCCAUGCAGUUUCCUGCAGAAGGGAAUCUGCAUAUAGAUCAGGAACCAAAACGUUGGAAAGAUUUAGGGACCUUUGUAACUUCUGUUUAUUAGUAAAACCAGUAAAGUGAGAAGAUUCCAUUCGAGCACAGCACAAAAGGGCAGACGCAGAGAAGACUGCAUUCCAC
rnacentral:lncRNA from 10 species